rnacentral:lncRNA from 1 species
UGAACUUUAUUUCUUUCAUCAAGAUAUUCUAUCUCAUAUAGAGAUGAAAUCUUUUUAGCUGAAUAAAAUUUUAAAGGAAAAUUAGGCAUCGAAAUAGUAGUAGAAGAAGUUGAGGGUCGCGAUAAGAUUUUGUCAGCCAUUAAGAAGAUUUUCUCUAAAUCUUACUAUCUUAAUAGAAUUCAGCAAAUGAGCUAAUUAACCAAAACCUUGGCUCUGAU